rnacentral:rRNA from 1 species
AUGAGCUUCUACAGCCUUCUGGAGACUCUACAUCACGAGAUUGCCACCGUUCAGGGGCGUUUCUUCUGGGCCGGCGAGGGUGAUAAGCAGAAGUACCACAUGGUCAGGUGGUCUAAGAUCUGCAAACCUCGCGACCAGGGCUGCCUCGGGAUCAUGUCCUCCAAACGCAUGAACAUUGCCCUUUUGACUCGGUGGCUCUGGUAG